ACCCGCACAAGCGGUGGAUGAUGUGGAUUAAUUCGAUGCAACGCGAAAACCUUACCUACCCUUGACAUGUCCGGAAUCCUGCAGAGAUGCGGGAGUGCCGAAAGGGAAUCGGAACACAGGUGCUGCAUGGCUGUCGUCAGCUCGUGUCGUGAGAUGUUGGGUUAAGUCCCGCAACGAGCGCAACCCUUAUCAUUAGUUGCCACGCAAGGGCACUCUAAUGAGACUGCCGGUGACAAACCGGAGGAAGGUGGGGAUGACGUCAAGUCCUCAUGGCCCUUAUGGGUAGGGCUUCACACGUCAUACAAUGGUCGGUACAGAGGGUUGCCAAGCCGCGAGGUGGAGCCAAUCCCAGAAAGCCGAUCGUAGUCCGGAUUGUUCUCUGCAACUCGAGAGCAUGAAGUCGGAAUCGCUAGUAAUCGCGGAUCAGCAUGUCGCGGUGAAUACGUUCCCGGGUCUU
rnacentral:rRNA from 1 species